UUUGUAAACUCCGGUGAAUCAUGUUUGGCAAUUGAAUAAAAAGUUAACUUUCCAAAUUCAGUAUAAAAUAGAACAUAAUUUUGCAAUAUCUCUUAAAUAGAAUCAGAAAAAUAAACAUAACAAAACUGUGACAAGACCUAAGAGUACAAUGCAGCAAUAAAAUUCCUAGAGUUUAAGCCCUCUUCUUGCUUGCUGCCAACUGGGUCUCCGGCUGGAAAAAUAUCAGAAUAAAAAUUUAAUUUAAAUAACCAAAAUCUUGCCGAAACAAUUAAAUAAGCAAUAAAUAUAAAGAGAAACAAAAGCACCAAUACCUCUUUCUGAACUGCCUCUUCCUUUUCGGAUAAAAUCAACUCAAUGUGGCAAGGAGAUGACAUGUAAGCUGCAACAAAAAAAAAAAAGACAUCAAUAAAAACACACUUCCAAAAAAAAAAAAGACCAAAUAUAAUCAAUUAAAACGAAUCAUAAGAUUUGAAACAUACGGUUGAUUCUUCCAUGGGCUCUGUAUGUUCUGCGUCUUUGCUUCUGUGCUUGAUUGACUUGGAUAUGUGAAACAUAUAGAGCAUCAACAUCCAAACCUUUGACCUAGAAAGUAGUAAUUAACAUUCAAAUGAGCAUUAAAAAAAACAGGGCAAAUAAAUUUCAAUUUAAAAAAGCAAAUAAAAGAUUCAGAACUUACUUCAGCAUUACUCUCUGCAUUCUUCAGCAAAUCCAGGAUAAACUUUGCUGACUUGACUGGCCACCUUCCUUGUCCAUUUGAGUGUCUAUUCUUGGCUUGAGCUGUCCUCCCAACACCACGACAGAAACGUCUGAAUGGAAUGGCCUGUUUGUGUGCAAGAACGUCUUCCAAGUACCUUUUAGCCUUGGUCAAGGGCAACUUCCUGAUGGCAAAGGCAGUUUCCCUAGUGUUCUGCAAGUACAAUUUAAAAUGUUUAAUCCCACAUUCAUAAAAAAAUCAUAUCAAGGAUAAAAAUAAAAGUAGCAGUAGCUUAAUUGUAGGUUUCAAUCAUUAAUGAAACAUAAUUGGGAAAAAACAAACAUUUAAAGUAACCAAACAAUAAUUGUUUAAAGUUAUAAACAAUGAAACUAUGUCAAUCAAUGAUUGUUAUAUCCUUUAAUUUAAAAUACAAGUUGCAGAUAGAAGUUGAUCAUGCUUCUUGAAUGCAUAAAUACACAUACUAAUGAAAAACAUGUCUCAUCAUCUAAUGAAAAACAUAUCACUGACAUUUCCAAGAGGACUGCUCGAUAUAGAUAACAGACACCUGUUUUUUUUUUCAUCAGGAUAUUCUAUGACCUAUACGUCUUUUCCAUGUAAUAUUGAACUGGAAAAGGCAAACUCAAUUUUCCUAUGUAUUAAAUAAUCAAGUAAUAAUGAGGCAAAUCAAGCAACUAAGGUGGCUAAAUCAAUACAGACAUUAAAAAACAUAAGAGCAGACUAAACCAAUAAUUGAAUACAUGUCAACACAUAUCAAAAUGAAUCAAAUUUAAAAAUUAGAAAUCUAAAAUCUAAAAAAUUAUAACAAAUGUACUAAAUAUUCCAUCGUUUACUGAACCUUCAAUCACGUAUCACAAAGACAAGACAUAGGUUCACCCAAUAACAAUGAGUUUAUAUCCCUGAAUGUUACGGGUGGACGGCUCAUAUAGGAACCAGACCACUGCUUUUUUCAAUCAGGUUGUUGCAUGGCUAUAGGGUUAGUAAAAUUUAUUUUAAAAUGAAUGAAGAAGCAUAUGUACAAAAUGAUCAAUCGAUUACAGAACCUUAAAUCAUGAAAAGGGAGAGGUUCACCCAAAAAGAAUCAUGGUUAUUAUCUCAAGAGUCUACAGAAUGUUCUUGUAAAUUAUGGCCAAUACCGGGUAUAUAAGCAGUGAUUUCAAAUCCAGAGGUUAAGCGUACUCUGGCAACUUUACGUAAGGCAGAGUUUGGUUUUUUAGGGGUAAUAGUGGAAAAGUUGACAGAUAAGUCAUCCUUACUGCCACUCUACAGAACCGUACAUGAGAUUUUAACCUCAUACGGCUCCUCGUUCAAUUCUUUUAACAAGAGGGUCCAUUCACAAGACAACAAACCACUGCCUUUCUCAUCUAUAAACUAAAAAUUUAAAAAUAUGAAUUCCAUAAUCUAUAAUAAUAAAACAAAUGAACUGAAUAUUUCAUCGUUUACUGAACCUUCAGUCACAUAUCACAAAGACAAGACAGAGGUUCACCCAAUAACAAUGGGUUUUAUAUCCCUGAAGGUUACGGGUGGACUGCUCAUAUAGGAACCAAACCACUGCUUUUUCUCAAUCAGGUUGUUGCAUGAAACCAAAUAUAUCAAUUAUUAAUUAAAAUGAUAUACACACACACACACACACACAAUAUUCCAUUUACGAAACCUAUAAUCAUAAAAAGGGAAUGAAGGUUCACAUAAAAAUCAUGGGCAUUAUCUCCCUGAAUUUAACGAGGUACAUUCACAAGACAAAAAACAACAGCUUUUUUCAUCUAUAAUUUAUAAAUUUAAAAAUUAGAAAUCUAUAAUCUAUAAUAAUAAAACAAAUGAACUGAAUAUUCCAUCGUUUACUGAACCUUCAGUCACGUAUCACAAAGACAAGACAUAGGUUCACCCAAUAACAAUGGGUUUUAUAUCCCUGAAGGUUACGGGUGGACUGCUCAUAUAGGAACCAAACCACUGCUUUUUCUCAAUCAGGUUGUUGCAUGAAACCAAAUAUAUCAAUUAUUAAUUAAAAUGAUAUACAGACACACACACACACACACAAUAUUCCAUUUACGAAACCUAUAAUCAUAAAAAGGGAAUGAAGGUUCACAUAAAAAUCAAGGGCAUUAUCUCCCUGAAUUUAACGAGGUACAUUCACAAGACAAAAAACACCAGCUUUUUUCAUCUAUAAUCUAUAAAUUUAAAAAUUAGAAAUCUAUAAUCUAUAAUAAUAAAACAAAUGAACUGAGUAUUCCAUCAUUUACUGAACCUUCAGUCACGUAUCACAAAGACAAGACAUAGGUUCACCCAAUAACAAUGGGUUUUAUAUCCCUGAAGGUUACGGGUGGACUGCUCAUAUAGGAACCAGACCACUGCUUUUAUCAAUCAGGUUGUUGCAUGACUCCAAAUAUAUCAAUUAACUUCAUAAUGGAUUAAUUGAAAUGAACAACAUAUGUACAAAAUGUACCCUCAUUAAGUGAACCUUAAAUCAUUACAUGGGAGUUGAGGUUCUUCCAAAAACCAUGGAUAUUAUCACUCUGAUUUUAACGACAGGUUUAUUCACAAAAUAACAGGCAACUGCUUUUUCAUCGGGUUAUCUAUCAGGUUAUCCAAACUACUGUUCUAAUAGAUGGGUUUUCUCUAUAUUUUAACUGGAAGAAAAUAAAUUCAUGAUGCAAUCAAAAACUCUAAACUGUAAGUUAAACAAUAAAAAUGUUAUUUGAAUCACAAACUGGAUAGCCUCUGUAUUAUAUAAACAACAAAACAAAGUGAAUACAGUAUGAAUAAAAUUAUCAUUUUAAAAAUUCAAGUGUUCACUAUAUCUAUAGUGCGAAGAAAACAUGUUCAGACUGUAACUUUUCUAUGUAAUGGGGUAAAAAAGAAUGUAUGCACAACACAAAUAACAUACCCCAACUUUUUUCCUUCAGAAUUUUCAAACUACAUUUCUUAAUAACAGUAGAUAAGCACAAAAGACAAUUUAAUUUCAAUCAAAAAUAACAUUUAAAGCCCAACAAAUUUGACACUGACUAGGGCCAUUUGGGGGUCCUUAUCUAUUACCUUAUGAAAAGAAGAAAAAAAAAAACUUAUGCAGGUAAAUAAGCAUUUAUGUUAAUUGAUUAGUUCAUUCGAAAAUUGUAUAGAAGUUUCUUUUUUCAUACACUACCUUGUUUUUAGCUUUUGCAUAAGCUAAAAAAAAUAAAAAAUAAAAAAUAAAAAAACUAAUCCAAAAGGGGCCCUUAAAACAGUUUGUACCAUCAAAGAAAUUCAUAAGUCAUAAGUUCAAAAGUGAAUUACAAUGCAUCAUCAAUAAACAAAAAAUAAGUAUUUGGUAACACAAAUUGAACUGGAGCAACAAACAACUAAUUAAUCAAAUUAGAAAAGUAAUCUAAAAAUAACAAAAGUAAUUUGUUACCUUGAAAUGAACUCUGAGGUCAGCACCACGAGCCUUGGUAGCUGCAUAUAAAAAAUUAUUUGAAAAAGUAAGAUAAGAUCUCAACUAAUUCAUCCCAAAAAACCAAUUAUGCUUAAAACACAAUAAAAUAAAAUAAAAUUACACAGGUUACUUACACUUGGUAGGGUUAUCAGGCUCUUUUGAGUACUUAACCUAAAAAUUCGAAAAACAAACAACAGAGAAGAGAGUUAGAGAAAUGAAUCAUAGAUCUGAAACAAAUCAAUGAGAACCGAAAAUGUGAGGGAUUCUAAGCUUACCAUGACGACGGCGUUUGAUGGAACCUGC
rnacentral:lncRNA from 1 species